UUCGGGCUUUCGAUUACAUACGGAAAAUGUUCGAUUGAUUCUUAGUUGAUUGUUAAUUGAAGUGAUUAUGGAAGUGAAUGUAUAAAAAAAAAUUAUAUAUGCAUAGAUACUAUUUAAUCAUGCUUUGGGAAAGGGAUUAUACCUCAAGAAUGGUUGGAUUUGGUGGUGGAUGGACAAGAAUGUGUAAUGUGAGGAGUUAGAGAAAAGCAUAAAUUGAGAAGUGGUGGUAACUCUUGGUUUGUGGGCAUUGAUGGUGGAAGAUAGAAGGUGGAAGGAGUGGAAAUUGGAGGGUCUCCUUGUGAAGAAGCCGUCGACCACAUUGUGAGGAAGAGGAAGAAGAAAGGCUUUUGGGCUUGCUCCCAAUUGUUUGGAAAGAAAUUGGGCUUCUAAAUUAAUUUAAUGGUCUUGGGCUCAAUUUAAUUGGAAGCCCAAGUUAGUAUAAUAUUUAAAUUGUUAGGCUUCUUGAUUGUUAUGGCCCAAGGCCAUUGUAUGUACCCAAGUAAAUACAUACUUUAUUUUCUCGUAUUUUCCUUUGAUAAUUAAAAUUCACGCGUCUUUAUUAAA